rnacentral:rRNA from 1 species
CCUACGGGCGGCUGCAGUAGGGAAUCUUCCACAAUGGGCGAAAGCCUGAUGGAGCAACGCCGCGUGGGUGAAGAAGGUCUUCGGAUCGUAAAACCCUGUUGUUAGAGAAGAAAGUGCGUGAGAGUAACUGUUCACGUUUCGACGGUAUAUAACCAGAAAGCCACGGCUAACUAGGUGCCAGCAGCCGCGGUAAUACGUAGGUGACAAGCGUUAUCCGGAUUUAUUGGGCGUAAGGGGAACGCAGGCGGUCUUUUAAGUCUGAUGGGAAAGCCUUCGGCUUAACCGGAGUAGUGCAUUGGAAACUGGGUGACUUGAGUGCAGAAGAGGAGAGUGGAACUCCAUGUGUAGCGGUGAAAUGCGUAGAUAUAUGGAAGAACACCAGUGGCGAAAGCGGCUCUCUGGUCUGUAACUGACGCUGAGGUUCGAAAGCGUGGGUAGCAAACAGGAUUAGAUACCCCUGUAGUC